rnacentral:rRNA from 1 species
UGGGGAAUAUUGGGCAAUGGACGAAAGUCUGACCCAGCGACGCCGCGUGAGGGAAGAAGGUCUUCGGAUUGUAAACCUCUGUUGACAGGGAAGAAGGAAGUGACGGUACCUGUCGAGGAAGCCACGGCUAACUACGUGCCAGCAGCCGCGGUAAUACGUAGGUGGCAAGCGUUAUCCGGAAUUACUGGGUGUAAAGGGUGUGUAGGCGGGACUGCAAGUCAGAUGUGAAAUCCACGGGCUCAACUCGUGAACUGCAUUUGAAACUACUCUUCUUGAGUAUCGGAGAGGCAAUCGGAAUUCCUAGUGUAGCGGUGAAAUGCGUAGAUAUUAGGAGGAACACCAG